rnacentral:lncRNA from 1 species
AUGGAAAAGAAAUGCAAAAAAGCAAAAUGGCUGUCUGGGAAGGCCUUACAAAUAGCUGUGAAAAGAAGAGAAGUGAAAAACAAAGGAGAAAAGGAAAGAUAUAAGCAUCUGAAUACAGAGUUCCAAAGAAUAGCAAGAAGAGAUAAGAAAGCCUUCUUCAGCGAUCAAUGCAAAGAAAUAGAGGAAAAGAACAGAAUGGGAAAGACUAGAGAUCUCUUCAAGAAAAUUAGAGAUAGCAAGGGAACAUUUCAUGCAAAGAUGGGCAUGAUAAAGGACAGAAAUGGUAAGGUCCUCAUAGAAGCAGAAGAUAUUAAGAAGAGGUGGCAAAAAUACACAGAACUGUACAAAAAAGAUCUUCAUGACCCGGAUAAUCACGAUGGUGUGAUCACUCACCUAGAGCCAGACAUCCAGGAAUGUGAAGUCCAGUGGGCCUUAGAAAGCAUCACUAUGAACAAAGCUAUUGGAGGUGAUGGAAUUCCAGUGGAGCUAUUUCAAAUCCUGAAAGAUGAUGCUGUAAAAGUGCUGCACUCAAUAUGCCAGCAUAUUUGGAAAACUCAGCGGUGGCCACAGGACUGGAAAAAGUCAGUUUUCAUUCCAGUUCCAAAGAAAGGCAAUGACAAAAAAUGUUCAAACUACCACACAAUUGCACUCAUCUCACACUCUAGUAAAGUAAUACUCAAAAUUCUACAAGCCAGACUUCAACAAUACGUGAACCGUGAACUCCCUGAUGUUCAAGCUGGUUUUAGAAAAGGCAGAGGAACCAGAGAUCAAAUUGCCAACAUCUGCUGGAUCAUGGAAAAAGCAAGAGAGUUCCAGGAAAACAUCUAUUUCUGCUUUAUUGACUAUGCCAAAGCCUUUGACUAUGUGGAUCACAAUAAACUGUGGAAAAUUCUGAAAGAGAUGGGAAUACCAGACCACCUGACCUGCCUCUUGAGAAAUCUGUAUGCAGGUCAGGAAGCAACAGUUAGAACUGGACAUGGAACAACAGGCUGGUUCCAAAUAGGGAAAGGAGUCCGUCAAGGCUGUAUAUUGUCACCCUGCUUAUUUAACUUAUAUGCAGAGUACAUCCUGAGAAACGCUGGACUGGAAGAAACACAAGCUGGAAUCAAGAUUGCCGGGAGAAAUAUCAAUAACCUCAGAUAUGCAGAUGACACCACCCUUAUGGCAGAAAGGGAAGAGGAACUAAAAAGCCUCUUGAUGAAAGUGAAAGAGGAGAGUGAAAAAGUUGGCUUAGAGCUCAACAUUCAGAAAACGAAGAUCAUGGCAUCUGGUCCCAUCACUUCACAGGAAAUAGAUGGGGAAACAGUGGAAACAGUGUCAGAAUUUAUUUUGGGGGGCUCCAAAAUCACUGCAGAUGGUGACUGCAGCCAUGAAAUUGAAAGACGCUUACUCCUUGGAGGAAAAAUUAUGACCAACCUAGAUAGCGUAUUCAAAAGCAGAGACAUUACUUUGCCGACUAAGGUCCGUCUAGUCAAGGCUAUGGUUUUUCCAGUGAUCAUGUAUGGAUGUGAGAGUUGGACUGAAGAAGGCUGA